CAGUCGCCGCGGGAAUACGUAGGUGGCAAGCGUUGUCCGGAAUUAUUGGGCGUAGAGCGCGCGCAGGCGGAUCAGUUAGUCUGUCUUAAAAGUUCGGGGCUUAACCCCGUGAGGGGAUGGAAACUGCUGAUCUAGAGUAUCGGAGAGGAAAGUGGAAUUCCUAGUGUAGCGGUGAAAUGCGUAGAUAUUAGGAAGAACACCAGUGGCGAAGGCGACUUUCUGGACGAAAACUGACGCUGAGGCGCGAAAGCCAGGGGAGCGAACGGGAUUAGAUACCCCUGUAGUCCCUGUCUCUUAUACC
rnacentral:rRNA from 1 species